GGUAGGGUAAGUGGUAGGGUUAGGGCUAGGGUAAGGGGUAGGAUAAGGGUUAAGGUGAGGGGUAGGAGAAGGGUUAGGUGUAGGGUUAGGGUAAGGGUUAGGGUUAUGGAAUUGUCUCGAUUUACCGAAGUCCCGAAUUGCAGAAUUCGCAAAUUUUGGAAGUGCUGAAUUGAACCGAACCGCUGAAGUGCCGAAUUGCCGAAGUUCCGAAUUUCGGAAGUGCCAAACCGAAUUGCCGAAAUCCCAAAUUAGCUGAAGUCCCGAAUUUUGGAAGUGCCGAAUUGAACCAUAAGUUUUUGCCUAUGCACAUCCUUAUUUAUAAAAACUGAAAUAGCCUGCCUUCAUAAAAAUGCAAAUACUGAAAGACACAAAUAUUCAAACAUCUGGGAUGUUAGAUACUAGCAUUUCAGAUGGCCUGUUAAUGAUGGCCUUAUUAAUUUGCUUCAUUUGUGGCCCUGUCUAAAAUAUUGUAGUGUAAGAGAUGUCAUAUAAUAUCUUGUUAAAAAUAG